UACGUAGGGGGCAAGCGUUGUCCGGAAUCAUUGGGCGUAAAGCGCGCGUAGGCGGCCAGAUUAGUCCGGUGUGAAAGUCAGAGGCUCAACCUUUGAAUGCCGCUGGAAACUGUCUGGCUUGAGUCCGGAAGGGGCGAGUGGAAUUCCUGGUGUAGCGGUGAAAUGCGCAGAUAUCAGGAGGAACACCAAUGGCGAAGGCAGGGUCCUGGCUGGCACCUGACGCUGAUGUGCGAAAGCCAGGGGAGCGAACGGG
rnacentral:rRNA from 1 species